UUCUCUAAUAUGUUCCAAGAUCUUAUAGUUACCAGAAGCUGCAUAAAUGCAAAAUUUACCAUUUGCAACCUUCUACUUUUUUGUUUGGCAAUUUAGCUUCUCUACAACUUCUGCACCUUUUACUCUUUAGUAAAUAUUUUGAGUUUUCCCUUAUCCGUCAUCUAUGAUACAACCAAACCCUGCAAGUUGACUUCUUUCUUGGGUUAUAAGGUUGGAAUGAAUCACAUUGCGAGAGGGCUUAAAAAGUUUGUAUCAAGUAAAAUCACUCUUUCAUCUAUAGCAUUUCAGUUCAGUAUUCACAUUUUCAACAUACAUAUAAUCAUUUAGACUCUGACUUCAGCAAAUUGUACGAAAAAUUAUCUAACAUGUACAAAAGAAGGCUAAAGGAGGAUGGGAGUCGAGGAUUCACCGGAGAAGCUUAAAGAAAAAGAACAAUAAAAUGAGUAAAAGAAGGAGACACGAUCUUCAUUCAAAAAGGUAUUGUUGCCUCAAAGUUUCCAUCUUUCAUAGUUUUAUCUAUGAUAAAGUGAAUGUGAAUAUAGAAGAUACUGCAACUAAUUUGAGAUUGUGGCACAUUUGAUUCAUUAAACUCCCCUUAUUAAAUACAAGUAAUUAACCUUAAUGUAUUAUAUCCAAUCUUCUAGCCAAUUAACUAUCUUUUUUUAAUGUUUGAUUAAAAUAUUUACAUUUUGAGCUACUUUAGAUUCAAGCUUUAUGGGCAUAAUUUAUUGAUGACUCAAACAGUUGGACCCUAAAUUGAUUUGUAUCUUGCUCUUCUCUUCGAUGAACUACUUGAUUACUUUUAAUCUUUAGGUGUGCUAGAUGAGUGAGUCAUUUUUCGUGAGACUGAUCUUUUCAUUCAGUGUUCACCUAUAUUGUUCGGACUCUUCAAAAAUAUCAAUGGGUGCAUGUCGAAUUCUCCAAAAGUAGUGUAUAUUUGGAGAAUCUGACAUGGGUGCGACAUCAAAAGUGAAGUGUUUGUACAACUUAGAUUUCUACAGAGGUGUCAGAAUAGGGUCGAUAAACAAUUUCAAUUUUAAUAUGCCUUUUUUUUCCAGCACUCAUUGCCAAUCUAACAUGAUUUUUUUCUUUGGUUUCAGAUAAUAAAGAUAGGCAACACUCUUUGCUUGGAGUAUGAAGUUUGGCAAGAUUCUUAUUCAUAAUUUCUCAAAAAUAUGUAUUUUUCAACGGAUUAUUUGCUUGUGUCCUUGAAAUCUUUUCUUCUUUCUAACUUUCAUUUGUAUUGAAAAUAGGUGCAACUUGAAUCAAUUUUUUCAGUCUUUGUGAGUAGAAAAAUGAGUGUAUUACAUGGUGUUCGCAUGUAACUUCACAGACACUUAUCAAAUUUUAAGGGUUACAUGUGAAUAGUGUAAAAUUAGCUGAUGAGGCUAUAACAAGACAUGUUGAAAUGGUUUGGAAAGCAUUUCAAGUAAGUUGCUCUCAAUAUAAAGUUACAUAAAACUGCCCAUAAACCCUCUCUAGAUUUUGAGUCCCUCUGUGUUUCACUUCCCCUAAGAUUCUUUUUCGUAGUAGCAACAACUCUUAAGAUCUACCAAAAAUGGCGGACACAACGACAUUUGCUUUCCAAGCUGAGAUCAAUCAGCUUCUCAGUCCUAUUAUCGACACUUUUCUACAGCUACAAGGAGAUCUUUCUCCAUGAACUCAUCA
rnacentral:lncRNA from 1 species